AUGAACGCUAGCGGCAGGCUUAACACAUGCAAGUCGAGGGGCAGCGAGGGUAGCAAUACCUGUCGGCGACCGGCGGAAGGGUGAGUAACGCGUGAGCAACAUACCCGUAUCAGUGGGAUAAUACGAGGGAAACUUGUUCUAAUAUCGCAUAAUAUUAUUCAGAGGCAUCUUUGGAUAAUUAAAGUUACGGCGGAUACGGAAUGGCUCGCGUGACAUUAGCUAGAUGGUAGGGUAAUGGCCUACCAUGGCGAUGAUGUCUAGGGGUUCUGAGAGGGAGGUCCCCCACACUGGAACUGAGACACGGUCCAGACUCCUACGGGAGGCAGCAGUGAGGAAUAUUGGACAAUGGAUGGAAAUCUGAUCCAGCCAUGCCGCGUGCAGGAAGGCGGCCCUAUGGGUUGUAAACUGCUUUUGUACGGGAGCAAUAAGGUCUACGAGUAGAUUGAUGAGAGUACUGUACGAAUAAGCAUCGGCUAACUCCGUG
rnacentral:rRNA from 1 species